GAGGAAACAUUUCUUGAAGUCCAUGGCCUUGAUCAUGCCUAUAUUUGAGGGUCAUUCGAUCAUGUCAUAAGAUUUCCCAAAAAUCAAUCUCAAUGAAGAGGGUGUUGAAAUCAAGGAAACAUUUGAGGCUAUUCCAUAAAUUUUUCCCCUUCCAUCCAAAGUCAACAAAAUUGAAACCCAUUUUUGAGAGUUGUUGGUGCCUCAUCCUAUAACUGAUGGCAACAUUAGGAAAUAUGGAGACGUCGUCGAGGGCCCCGGAAAGACUUAUCUUUUCUUUUUAAAAUCUUUCCCACCCUGAAAUCGACUCAACCGGAGAUAGGGUCCAGCAGCUGGAAGAGAAUCGCACAUCUUGCGACGUCUGGUGCGCCCUCAGUGGCCCUUGAAAAUCUGGAGGACCGAGUACCGUCCAUGCCCGAUCGUACUCAUAACCGCAUCAGGUCUCCAAGGUGAACAACCUUU
rnacentral:ncRNA from 1 species